GCUUGAGAUGAGCUGGCAUCAGAGGAUGUCUGAGGGGGCAGUGGCCCCUCUGGGGGCUUCUCUGAGCACCUGGUUAGCUCCUCAAGUAUUUCUCUCCUUCCUCAGUGCCUGCCCCUUGACCCCUGGUGUCAUGGCCUCAGUGCUGGCCUAUAGCAACUGCUUUCUGUUCCUAGCAGGCACGAACAGCAGGUGGAAGGUAAGCGUGCUAGCAGUUGGGAGACCUCACCAAGGUAAGGAGCCAUGCGUGUCACAGGAAGUGAGGCUGGAGGGAUCUACCGGAGGGACUGGGAAACCAAACCCAGCAGUGUGGAUUUACCCCAGGAGCAGCGGAGAGUCACUCAAGGCUUCUCAGCAGAGAUGACAUGCACAGAUUAGGAUUUUGGCAAAAUUGGCAUGACUGUGGGGCAGGGAAAUCCACUGCACAGGAGCAAGAGGGGAGGCAAAGAAGCUGGUGAGAAGGUGAGUGAUCUGGUAGGGAGCUAGGUGCCGUGAGCAUGGGCAGCUGGAAUACUCUAGAGAAACUGCAGAGCUGCUGCGAGGGGCUUUCCAGAGAGGUUAUCUAGGCUUUCAGCCCUGGGAUUAAUGGCUGGUUUCCUGUUUUCUGAGAUGAGGAGCAUGGGGGAGACAGGAGAAUUGUAGUGAGCAGAGGGGCUGCUCUCACAUAUCUCAGUGGAGUUCAUGUACCUUUUUGUUCACGUACAGUCUGGAUCCACACUUCUCAAAUGCUAAAGCACAUCCCAUUUGAGCCCCCUGGACACCUUUUCAG
rnacentral:lncRNA from 1 species